rnacentral:rRNA from 1 species
UACGUAGGGCGCAAGCGUUGUCCGGAAUUAUUGGGCGUAAAGAGCUCGUAGGCGGCUUGUCACGUCGGAUGUGAAAGCCCGGGGCUUAACCCCGGGUCUGCAUUCGAUACGGGCUAGCUAGAGUGUGGUAGGGGAGAUCGGAAUUCCUGGUGUAGCGGUGAAAUGCGCAGAUAUCAGGAGGAACACCGGUGGCGAAGGCGGAUCUCUGGGCCAUUACUGACGCUGAGGAGCGAAAGUGUGGGGAGCAAACAGG